ACUGGAAGAAUCAAUAUUAUCAAAAUGACUAUAUUACCCAAGGCAAUCUACCAAUUCAAUGCAAUCCCUAUCAAAUUACCAAAAACAUUUUCCACAGAACUUCAACAAAAUAUUUUAAAGUUUGGUUGGAGGUACAAAAGCCCCAGAAUAGCCAAAGUCCAUCUCGAGAAAGAAAAAUGGAGACGCAGGAAUCAGGCUCCCUGAGUUCAGACCAUACUACAAAGCUAUAGUCAUCAAAACCGUAUGGUACUGGCACAAAGACAGAAAUACAGCUCAGUGGAGCAGGAUAGAAAGCCCAGAAUUAAACCCACGCAGCUACAGUUAACUAAUCUGACAAAGGAGGCAAGAAUAUACAAUGGAGAAAAGACAGCCCCUUCAAUAAGUGGUGCUGGGAAAACUGGACAGCCACAUGGAAAAGAAUGAAAUUAGAACACUCCCUAACCAUACACAAAAAUAAACUCCAAAUGGAUUAAAGAUCUAGAUAUAAGACCAGAUACUAUAAAAUUCUUAGAGGAAAAUAUAGGCCAAACACCCUCUGACAUAAACCAUGGCAAUAUCCUUCUCAGAUCCACCUCCUAGAGUAAUGACAAUAAAAACAAAAAUUAACAAAUGGGACCUAAUUAAACUUAAAAAGUUUCUGCAAAGUAAAGGAAAUCCUAAACAAAACGAAAAGACAAUCCACAGAAUGGGAGAAAAAUCUUUGCAAAUGAAUUGACUGCCAAGGGAUUAAUCUCCAAAAUUUAUAAACACCUUCUGCAGCUCAAUACCAAACAAACCACCCCAUCAAAAAAUGAGCAGAAGAUCUAAACAGACAGUUCUCCAAAGACAUACAGAUGGUCAAAAAACACAUGAAAAGAUGUUCAACAUCACUCAUUAUUAGAGAAAUGCAAACCAAAACCACUAUGAGGUACCGUAUUACACCAGCCAGAACGGCUGUCAUCAAAAAGCCUACAAACAGUAAGUGUUAGGGAGGGCGUGGAGAGAAAGGAACCCUAGUACACUGUUGGUGGGAAUGUAAACUGGUGCAACCACUGUGGAAAACAGUAUGGAGAUGCCUCAGAAAACUAAAAACAGAACUACCAUUUGAUCCAGCAAUCCCACCCCUGGGCAUCUAUCCAGAGAAACCCACGACUCACAAAGACACAUGGACUCUGAUGUUCACUGCAGCACUAUAUACAACAGCCAAGACAUGGAAACAACCUAAAUGCCCAUCGACAGAGGAGGGGAUCCAGAAGAUGUGGUCCACACACACAGUGGAAUAUUACGCAGCCAUUCAAAAGAAAGACACACAGCAUUUGCAGCCACAUGGAUGGACCUAGAAAUGAUCCUGCUGAGUGAAGUCAGGCAAUGAGACACCAGCAUCAAAUGCUGUCACUUACCUGUGGAAUCUAAUAAAGGGAUACAAUGAACCUCUUUGCAGAACAGAUACUGACUCACAGACUUUGAAAAACGUAUGGUUUCCAAAGGAGACAGGUUGGGGGGUGGGGGGAUGGGCUGGGGUUUGGGAUGGAAAUGCUAUAAAAUUGGGUUGUGAUGGUCGUUGUAUACCUACAAAUGUAAUAAAAUUCACUGAGUAAUUAAAAAAAUAAAUAGCCGUUUUAACAAGGUGUAUAAUAAAGGGUCUUUAUUCCGGGGCUGGUGAGGGAAGGCAGUUACCGCUCUGGGUCUAGAGGCGGAAGAUAAUCCAGGCGCUGCUCCCCGAGCUGCCUCCCUCGGAGACGGUCUCUGCAAAACAGGUGAAUGCUGACUUCAACUCUCAGCGCAGCAUACCUCUUGCUGAGGAAGGGUUUUGGGUUUUGUUUUAAAGCAGAAACACCAGUAAGUGUGUCUGGCCCCGGAACCAGAGCUCCAACAGCCUGCUGGUGUCGGGACAGCCCGGUCGUGCAGUCCAGGCAGGCACCAGCGCUCCCGCCAGCUGGGAAAGGCUGGCCCAGCGCCUCAAGCUCCGGCACCCCUGCGACUCUGGCUGGGCCCAGGCCCCAGCACCUUGUUACAACCGCCAGCCCACCCUCGAGUGAGGUCAUCUGCAGAGAUUCCUUGUGAAAGGCCACGGGGCUGCCCGGCACCCAGCAGCUGGGGUGUCCCGGGGACACUUGGCAAAUUUCUCAGGAGGUCAGCUGCAGCUUUUUGACACGCUCCUCGGACCCGGCACUCGGCGGGCUCCGCGGCCCCACACCAGGCCUGCACCCAGCCAGCCAGGGAGCCUGCGUGCUUCUUCCUGCUUGUUAAAUCCUCACGAAAGUAAACUGCCAACGAGGGCCUUACAGUGUGGCAGGCAGCUUCAGACACUCAGGAAAGAAACCAGACGGGACAGACCAAAGCUCUCAGGGGACUCGGGGACCAGCAGGGUCAGGCAGGGGUGUCUGCUGGCUCCCUCUGCACUCAGGGCUUGGGCGUGGGUGUGGAGGGGUGUGUCCGCAGAGAACCCGAGGGCCCCCAGGGUCCUCUCACCCCUUCAUGUUCCUAUAGGAAGAGAGCUAUGAUUUAUAAAGUAAGUUGAUGUUAUUUCAUUUAAUUCCGACAGCACUGCAGAUUUCCUUGGCAAGAACUAUCCCCUUUUUUCAGCUGAGAAAAUCGAGGCUAAGAAAGAUCAAGAGGAGGUCCCGUUGUGGCACAGUGGAAACGAAUCUGACUAGGAACCAAGAGGUUGUGGCUUUGAUCCCUGGCCUUGCUCAGUGGGUUGAGGAUCUGGCGUUGCCGUGAGCUGUAGUGUAGAUCGCAGACGCAGCUCGGAUCUGGCAUUGCCACGGCUGUGGUGUAGGCCGGCAGCUGUAGCUCCCAUUAGACCCCUAGCCUGGGAACCUCCGUAGGCAGCGGGUGAGGCCCUAAAAAGCCAAAAAAACCCCACAAAAAACCCCAGAAAGAUCAAGAGACUGGCCCCGUUCACAAAGGUGGUUCAGGGCAGAACCAGGAUUACAAGCUGAGCUCCCGGACUCUCGCCCGAGACCCGGGCCGGUCCCCUGCUUCCAGCCCUCCCGGAGGAGGGCCGCUGCACUGACUGCCACAGUUGACCUCUGGCCCCAGAACGGGCCCCGCUCUGGUCCACCUGCCCGUACCUGCAAAGCUGCUUCUGGCUCCUGAUUCCUCGCCUACUUAUACCCUGGCCUUGGCUUUACAAAGCGCUUCCUAACUCUCCCAAGGAUCAGAAAAGCUCAUUUUGAAACUGAGAUUAGAACCCAGGACUCCCGACUCACUCCCUAAGGACCCAUCUACCUACUGUUACACGCCAGGCGUUAAAUACAUUCUUGUUAGUUAUCAAAUGGAGCCAUCAUAGAAGAUAAAGUUCUGGUCACUGUGUCACCCCAGGUCACCAGAGCAUGUUGCCACAUGGGAAGAAUGUCCUUUUCACAAACCCCGUCCGUUAGAAAUAACGCAGAGGCAGGCUCUUAAACAAAGGAUAACUUCCUGGAUCCCAAACCCCAAGUUUAUAGAAAGGGUGCGACCACCUCUGUGUAGCCCUGCUUUUCCUUGUGGAAACUGGUGAGGUUCUCAUCGACCCCGCUGAUUCUGACUAAAAGGUCUCUAGUUUCCUCUCGGAAAUAACGAGCGGUGGUAAUUCUAUGAUCGGUUUAAUGUGUAUUUGCGGCAACAUUUAGAGGCAACGAAAAGGGCCUGUGCCGGGUCGCCCACAACCGCUUCCUUGCCUAUCAGCAUGGGGGUCAUGCCCUGUCCUAAAACACACGGGGUUCCAUCCGAGAAAGGAGAAGCUGUCAGCGGUUAGAACACACACACUCUCCUCCUCGCGCUCCAGAGAGAUGGAGACGUGCGGAGAGAGAACCAGCAGCGGGAACCGUCCCACCUCCUCGAUUUCCAUUUCUUAGAAACCGUCUCUGUAGGAGCAUCCCUUCUCACAUUCACGCCCAGAGGCAGAUUCCCGGAGAAGAGAUGGAGGAAAGAGAAGGAAUAAGAGUCACAAAAGACUGGUUUGAGCACUGAUAAUUACAGCAGCUGAAAAGCUUGCCAGAGCAAAGAAGGAGCCUGUGAACAAAACACAACGAGGGCACUUCCCAGAAAACUGCCCAGCCACGAGAUCACCAGCAACAAUGAGGAAAUCACAGCCAAGACCGCAUCUCCGCUCAGCAGACAGGCUUGCAGGAUUUUUCACCUGCACCGCCACAAGCAGCCUCUUUAAAAAGAGCAGUAGGCUCCAUGAGUUCGACAAAGGAAGAAACACAAAAGAUAGCAAGAGACUCUUCUGGAUGCACAGUUCCCAUUCCGCAUUCCGAACUCCACACCAGCAACAGCACAGCGCCAGGGAGGCACAAGGUGGGGUCCUCGGCACCUUUACACGCGAUCAAACCAAUUAUCCACGCUGCAUCCGAGCUUGCAGUCAACACCGACCCGCACCGCCUCUGCACCUCCGGCCCCCAGGACCCUGCCAAAGCCCACCACAGAAAAGCAGCCUUUUUGUGUGAGAACCAGCGAGAGCCUAAGCUGUCAUUACACAGCAAAAACCCAGCGAGAACAAAAACCCACUGGCAGACGGAUGUAGAGAACCCAGAACAUACCUGAAUUCUUCAAAUGCAAACAUGACCUAGUCGGAGACAAUUGCCUUGGACUGUCGGCUAGCCUUUUUGGUUCGGAGGACAACCAUUUAGUCAGUGAGAUGGUGCAAAGUGCAGAAAAAAGAGGCGGGGUUUGCCCCCCCCCCCCCCAAUAUUCUGAAGUCAAAGGCUUUCUGCAGACAGGGGCCUGCAGCCUCCAGCUCCGCCAGCUGCUGACGAGCGGCAGCUACAGGGAGGCAGCCAGGAGACCACGUGACCGUGCCACAUGGUGAUGAAUGCAGCGCCUGCCCUGCGAGGCGGCUCGGGCUUGGGCACGGGAUUAGCCUGAGCCGGAGGGGAGCCCGGGCACGCGGGAUCCUGGGGACACCCCACGCCCCACCCAUCUCACGGGUCGGGGUGGGGGGCAAGGGCUAAAGGGAAUGAGCACGCGACCAGUUCCACUGCCGUCCGCCCAGGCGCCGUGUGGCCAGGCGCGGUGGCCACCGCGGUCACCGCAUGUGGGAGACGGAUACCAGGCUACCUUUCACCGAAAAUUCUUCAGAAUCCUGUACUUUAUCCUCCCGCUACCAAACACGGAAGGCAUAAGCCGCUCUGGAAUUGCACGAGUCACAUUUCAUGCCCGCCACUCUGCCACGAACACCACCCUGUAGGGCAGCCGGGGUGAGUAACCUCAUUUACUUGAUUAUUUGUGUACGGGGCAUCUGAUAGACACUGGGCUUCCAUUCCUUGAAGUGCCCAAAUUGCUACAAUAAUUUCAGAAUGGGAGUUAAGAAAAAAGAACUGAGAUGCCAGCCGAAAAACAAAAAAAGGAGAAAUGUGUACCAGUUUGGAAGCCUGAGCUGGCAAGAUGGGGCAAGUGAGCUGAGGCCGUGUUCUGAAACCUGCCGGGAAGGAGUCAGCAUUUGGGUGGCAAGUCUUUAUAAAAUCAGGGAGACAGAGCUCAAUAAAAACCUGAGCGUCACUCUUGACUUUUUUCCCUCCCUCACCCCACAAGUACCAGCAGUCACUGAUCUGGACCCUGCCUCAGUAAGGUCCUUGUGAUCCGGCCACUGCCCCAGCCACGCCUCGCGCUCCCCUCCGCGUCCCCCCAACUGGCGGCUUCCCCGUUCCGUCCCUUCGGAGAUGUUGACAUCCCCCUACUUCAGCCCUGCACUGGCUCCUCGGUGUCCACGGCUUAAGUGAAAACGCCUCGGCACAGACACCAAGUCUUACUCCUCCAGCUCUCUCCUGUUAAAACGCUUCGCCAGCCCCCCAGUUCAGCUGCCCCCCGUGUAAGCCGGGCCUCCUUCCUUUGGUCCCCCGGCCAACUGGCCCAGGUGUGUUCCUUGCUCCAAAAGCGCCUUGCACCCUUCCACGUGGCCCACACUGUUCCCUCCGCUGUCACCCGCGUGGCAUGACAGCAUCUGCCUGCCCCCGCAGCUACGAGGUCCCCGGGGGUCUGUGUGAGUUAUUCUGUACCCCGGUGCCUGGCACAGAGCUUGACAAGGAGGAGUGAGUCAGCAGAGAUUUGGUGAACCACCGCUCGGCUCUCGAGGGAGCAAGUGAUGCAGGGCGUGUUUGCACACAAUGCCACUCCCCCUUCAGGCACGAGGUGAGGACAGUCAGCCCGGGCAGAGUGACUGGUGAGGAGGGUAUUCUGGGGGUCCCAUGCUCCCUGAAGCCACACAACAAUCGUCAACCAGGCUGGUCCAGAAUGCCUUCCCAACCCUCCUGACAGUCUCUGCCUGAGACAUCAGGGGAUGGCAGCUUCUUGGCAGCAUCACGACACAUCAGCAAACAUAGGCGAUCAGAGUCGCUAAAUAACGCGAGCUUACGUCCAGAGCUGCCACCCUCCAACUCUGAUCACGGCAGAGCCUUGGACUCCCCACGUGCAAGCCCGAAGAACACAGAUAGAGCCCACGCAUCGACUCUUUCACGGGAAGGGGGUACCCAACGAGGCCGGGCUUGGGACAGUUCCUCAUCCAGGAUACAAAGUUAGAGAAACGCUCCCCGUCCGUCACCUUCAUCCCCUGCACGGUGGCGUCUCGCAG
ensembl:lncRNA